UGUGGUGUCUUCCACUUUUUUUUUUCCUCUUCUAUUUUCCACUUUUUCUCUUCCUCUUCUAUUUUCUCUCUGCCGUUCCGUUUCUCUCAGUUUUCCCGUCUGUCUUUUGAUUUCGAUUUCGAUCGGAUCUUCUCGAAGGUGUUUGGCGUUUUUUUCCCCUGUUUUGCGCGAACAAAUCGCUUCCAUUUAGGAAACAUUCUUCUUCCAGUUUUAGGGUUGUAUUCUGUCAGUUUCCAAGCUUUUUCUCCGUCAGGAAAUAUUCGGCUUCCAAUUUUAGGGUUUUAUUGCACGAUCUUGCAAACCUUUUCCGGAUUAGAUAUCAAGAGGAUUUGUGAAGUCCCUAUUAUGGGUGGGCAUAAAAACCUCAAACCGUAAAACCGCAUCGAACCAUAUAAAAAAAAAAAAACAGAAAAGAACCGUAUGAAAAAAAAAACAGAAAAGAAUCGAGUUGACCGGAAAAGUGAACUUUGAAUCAAAAACUGAACUAAACCGUUCAAAUCGAUUAUGGUUCUGGUUUCGAAUGAACAAGAACCAACCGAACCGUUUUAUUAAUAAUAAAUAAAUAAAUUAUAUACAUACACACAUGUCAUGGUAUAAAUAAGUAGGUUAAAAAAAUAGUUUCAUCAAAUUGCAAAGUAGUGGAUCAUCCCAAUUAGGGCUCACUCACCUCACCCUCACCUCACUCACGGCCUCACAUUCCCAUUCCUCCAUUUCACACAGCCGACCCCUCUUCCUUGUCGACAUUCUCCGUUGAUUUAUUCGUUAAUGGAGAGAGAGAGAGAGAGAGAGAGAGAGAGAGAGAGAUUCUUGUAACAAAAAAACCCAUUUAUCCAUUUCAUUAGCCGCUCCUUUUGCAAUCAAACCAAAAACACUUCUCCAAGGAAGGGGAAGCUGCUUUCUGCUGAUUUCAACUCUCAGUUACUGUCUCUUCAGAGGUUUUUGAUACCUAAAUUAAGCUUUGGUUCGCCCACAACUCAAACUCCCGCAGCGCAGACUUGUUGUGGACUCGGUUUCCAGAGUCAGGUCAUUUGGAGGCUCCCUGUACUGAGUUGUGUGACUUCUCAACUGAUCUUUCUUCAUUUGCUAUUUUAGGGAUGACGGACCAAACCCUUGAAUGCAUGAUGAUUUGGUGUUCAAAUAAUUUGGUAUUCGGAACCGUAAACCGGUAAGAAUCGAAUCGGAAUUGGUUUAGACAGAACCGUACGGUUCUAGUAAUAAAUUUAAGCGAAACUGUAUCGAACCGAACCGUUGAUAUUUUAAGGUUCCGGGUCUGGUUUAGGGGUGGAACCGCAUUGAACCGCAUUGAACCGCACCGUGCCCACCCCUAGUCACUGUGAUUUAAUGGUACUCAUGUUCAAUUUUUGGAUUUGAUUUGAAGGAAUUUCUUAAGAAGAAAGGUUAGGGUUUCUUGGUGAGUUCUUUGAGAUAUGGAGAAAAUUUUCAUUAUGACGGGAACACGAGUAGUACACUACGUGUUUUUAUGUAAGUGGUGAGAAAUUUUAUUUUUUAAGUUAUUAACUUUUUAACACAUAUAUCUCAUCAUUUAUAUAAUAACACGUGGUAUACCACACAGUGUACCAGUCACACUAAAAAAUCUCUCUGAGAUAUGGAUCUGGGUGGUUUUCUUUUGUUUAAAUCUGGGGCUUUUGUAGCUUGCGACUUGUAAAUGAAUCAAAUUUUUUUUUUUUUAUGAUUUCAGGAGAUUUAAUUUUUUUUAAUAUUGAUUUUCCUCAUCGGAACGACUUCAAGACCAUUAUCAUUAGCUAAGCCCUUGAUAGUAACGUCCAGUCACUCCAUUUGCCUUCCCGGAUUUUCUUCUCCCUCAGCUCCUUAGGGGACAUGAACAACUCCUUGUUUUCAGCUGGCUGAUACUCUUUUUGAAGCGACGGUGGUCCUUGAGGGUAGUGGCGGCGAGCCUCGGCCUCCUCCGCAGCUUGUCGAGAGUCAAUGUUCCUAGGGAGAUGGUAAACCAUUCCCUUCAGGUGCUACGGUUUCGAGACAUAGGCGUAACCGUGUUGAUGUUGGCCGUUCAGCUGCUCCAAGCUACUGUAUAGUGAAUACAGAGACUUUAGAUGCUUGACAUCUAUGCAAGAGGAGUUUUUCAAAGCAUUGCCACACUCCAUGAUAGUUUUCGAUAGUUUAGCUUGAGGAACAUGUUUAAAAAAGACCUUCGUAAGAAACAUUGUGGAUCAAAGAUGAAGGAAUGAGUAGAAUUUGAAAUUGGAGGGAAGUGUUACAUGUCACAAUUAGUUCAAAUUCUACUCAUUCCUUCAUCUUUGAUCCACCAUGUUUUUUACGAGGGUCUUUUUUAAACAUGUUCCUCAAGCUGAACUAUCGAAAACCAUCAUGGAGCGUGGCAAUGCUUUGAAAAACUUAUCUCGCACAGAUGCCAAGCAUCUCAAGUCUCUGUAUUCAUUAUACAGUAGCUUGCGCAGUUGAACGGGCAACACCAACACGGUUACGCCUACGUCUCAGAACCGCAACACCUGAAGGGAAUGGUUUACCAUCUCCCUAGGAAUAUUGUCGCUCGGCAAGCUGUGGAGGAAGCCGAGGCUUGCCGCCACUGCCUCAAGGACCACCACCGCUUCAAAAAGAGUACAAGUCAGCUAAAGACAAGGAAUUGUUCAUGUCCCCCAAGGAGCUGAGGGAGAAGAAAAUCCGGGAAGGCAAAUGGAGUGACUGGCCAUGGUAUGGGAGUUUGUGGUGGUGAGCAAGUGGCUUGAUCCCGGAAGAGAGCCACUAUCAAGGGCUUGGUUGAUGAUAAUGGUCUUGAAGUCGUUCCGGUGAGGAAAAUCAAUAUUAAAAAGUGAAGAACGAAGGCGUGCAUGGUAUAUGGAACUACAAUAAUUUGCAGUGAGCUGUGUUUCUUUCCAGCGAGUCAUUUCUUUUGAGUCAGUAUUGUCUUCAAAUCUCAGUUUUCAUUAAAUAAUUGUUGGUUAGGUUGAGUCCUCAGUCCUAAUCAUCAUAGGAGCGUAGCUAAUAGAGUGUAGAGGUUUAUGUCGUCGGCUUUGUGUCUCUAUGAGACCUUCCAAUUCCAUGGAAGAGGAGCACACUUGUUUAACAAAUGCGAUAUGAAAUUGUAUUAGUAUAAUAUUCUCUAUUUAUUUCUUUUCUAUGUUCUUUUAA